rnacentral:sRNA from 1 species
UCGCUUCAUGGCCGCUCUCCCGCCCCGCCUGGGAUCUGUGGGGAGCUGGGGAGCCCGCGGCGGCCUGGAGCCGGAGCUGGCGAGCCGAGCGGAGACCUGUGCGCCGCGCCUCUGAGGCGCAGCAUGUGAAGCGGAUACGGCAUCCAGUGCGCGGCGAGCCUCUCAGCCGGCCGGGAUGGCUACCACGGCCGAGCUCUUCGAGGAGCCUUUUGUGGCAGAUGAAUAUAUUGAGCGUCUUGUAUGGAGAACCCCAGGAGGAGGCUCUAGAGGUGGACCUGAAGCUUUUGAUCCUAAAAGAUUAUUAGAAGAAUUUGUAAGUCAUAUUCAGGAACUCCAGAUAAUGGAUGAAAGGAUUCAGAGGAAAGUAGAGAAACUAGAGCAACAAUGUCAGAAAGAAGCCAAGGAAUUUGCCAAGAAGGUACAAGAGCUGCAGAAAAGCAAUCAGGUUGCCUUCCAACAUUUCCAAGAACUAGAUGAGCACAUUAGCUAUGUAGCAACUAAAGUCUGUCACCUUGGAGACCAGUUAGAGGGGGUAAACACACCCAGACAACGCGCAGUGGAGGCUCAGAAAUUGAUGAAAUACUUUAAUGAGUUUCUAGAUGGAGAAUUGAAAUCUGAUGUUUUUACAAAUUCUGAAAAGAUAAAGGAAGCAGCAGACAUCAUUCAGAAGUUGCACCUAAUUGCCCAAGAGUUACCUUUUGAUAGGCAAGUUCAUUUCUCAAGAGCUAAUUUGAAUAUAUGGUAUAAUUUAUAAAAUAAAAUUGUAUCUUUU